AUCUGAUGCCUCCUUGCUGAGAGAAUUUGCCCAAGUAACACUUCAUCUUUCAAGUGGACACAGUAAUCGUGCCUUUCAUUUUUAUUGCUUUGCCUGCAAACUUAAUCAUAUUUGUUAACUUCUAUGUGCCUCAGUCUCAACAUCGGGUGUUUGUGGAAACAAAAACUGCAUUAGAGGAGAUAAUUCUCAGCUCAAGCCAGCCUUGGACUGGAGGGAUCUCUUCAGCUCUGCACUCAAGAGAGAUAAAAGAGCAUAAUUUUAAAUGCACAGCAGUUCAUCUCAAGAUCUAUUCAACUGUAUGAAAACCAUAUAACCUCAGGUUAGUUAAUCAACUCAUUUCAUAUGCAGAAAACAAACAGAUACAAAAGCAAACACUUCACUGCUACUUGAUAUUUAACAUAAUUAGUACCAUUUCCUGGUUUUGCAUUUCAAGAAUUCAUACUACAUUUAUGUUGAAUAGAGAAUUAU
rnacentral:lncRNA from 12 species